rnacentral:rRNA from 1 species
CGGGGCUAAACGGAUUACCGAAGCUGUGGAUGGAUCUCGUUAGAGAUCCGUGGUAGGAGAGCGUUCUAAGGGCGUUGAAGCAUGAUCGCAAGGACAUGUGGAGCGCUUAGAAGUGAGAAUGCCGGUAUGAGUAACGAAAGACGGGUGAGAAUCCCGUCCACCGAAUGCCUAAGGUUUCCUGAGGAAGGCUCGUCCGCUCAGGGUUAGUCGGGACCUAAGUCGAGGCCGAUAGGCGUAGACGAUGGACAACAGGUUGAUAUUCCUGUACUAGAGUAUGUA